rnacentral:rRNA from 1 species
UACGUAGGGGGCGAGCGUUGUCCGGAAUUAUUGGGCGUAAAGAGCUCGUAGGCGGUCCGAUAAGUCGGCUGUGAAAGUCAGGGGCUAACCCCGGACAGCGGCCGAUACUGUCGGACUAGAGUCCGGAAGAGGCAAGUGGAAUUCCCGGUGUAGCGGUGAAUGCGCAGAUAUCGGGAGGAACACCAAUGGCGAAGGCGGGUUGCUGGGCUGACCCUGACGCUGAGGAGCGAAAGCUAGGGGAGCGAACGGG